rnacentral:rRNA from 1 species
ACGGAAUAGAUACCCUGGUAGUCCACGCCCUAAACGAUGUCUACUAGUUGUCGGGUCUUAAUUGACUUGGUAAACGCAGCUAAACGCGUGAAGUAGACCGCCUGGGGAGUACGGUCGCAAGAUUAAAACUCAAAGGAAUUGACGGGGACCCGCACAAGCGGUGGAUGAUGUGGAUUAAUUCGAUGCAACGCGAAAAACCUUACCUACCCUUGACAUGGAUGGAAUCCCUGAGAGAUUGGGGAGUGCCCGAAAGGGAACCAUUACACAGGUGCUGCAUGGCUGUCGUCAGCUCGUGUCGUGAGAUGUUGGGUUAAGUCCCGCAACGAGCGCAACCCUUGUCAUUAGUUGCUACGAAAGGGCACUCUAAUGAGACUGCCGGUGACAAACCGGAGGAAGGUGGGGAUGACGUCAAGUCCUCAUGGCCCUUAUGGGUAGGGCUUCACACGUCAUACAACGGUACAUACAGAGGGCCGCC